CGGGGCGUAGCGCAGCCUGGUAGCGCAUCUGCUUUGGGAGCAGAGGGUCGUGAGUUCAAAUCCCACCGCCCCGACCA
rnacentral:tRNA from 1 species